rnacentral:rRNA from 1 species
GACGCACCGUGCGAACGUUAUUCGGAAUCACUGGGCUUAAAGCGCGUGUAGGCGGGCCGGCACGUCGGCUGCUGAAAGCCCCCGGCUCAACCGGGGAACGGGCACCGAUACGACCGGCCUGGAGGGGGGUAGGGGGAGCCGGAACUUCCGGUGGAGCGGUGAAAUGCGUUGAGAUCGGAAGGAACGCCCGUGGCGAAAGCGGGCUCCUGGACCCCGCCUGACGCUGAGACGCGAAAGCCAGGGGAGCGAACGGG